GAUGAAGAACGUAGCGAAAUGCGAUACGUAAUGUGAAUUGCAGAUUUCAGUGAAUCAUCGAAUCUUUGAACGCACAUUGCGCCCGCUAGUAUUCUGGCGGGCAUGCCUGUUCGAGCGUCAUUUCAACCCUCAAGCACUGCUUGGCGUUGGCGGAUUGCGUGCCCUCGCGGCGCUGCAACCGCCCAAAUACAGUGGCGGUCCCGCUGCGGCUCCCUUUGCGUAGUAACUCACCUCGCACUGGACCGGGCGGCGGCCUGCCGUAAAACCCCAACUCACGAAAUGUUGACCUCGGAUCAGGUAGGAAUACCCGCUGAACUUAAGCAUAUCAAUAAGCGGAGGA
rnacentral:misc_RNA from 1 species